GGUACCCGUAGAGUUUGACCCUGGCCCGUAGAGUUGGAACUUGGUCCUUUGACGUUAGCGGCGGACGGGUGAGUAACACGUGGGCAACCUACCCUAUAGUUUGGGAUAACUCCGGGAAACCGGGGCUAAUACCGAAUAAUCUCUUUUGCUUCAUGGUGAAAGACUGAAAGACGGUUUCGGCUGUCGCUAUAGGAUGGGCCCGCGGCGCAUUAGCUAGUUGGUGAGGUAACGGCUCACCAAGGCGACGAUGCGUAGCCGACCUGAGAGGGUGAUCGGCCACACUGGGACUGAGACACGGCCCAGACUCCUACGGGAGGCAGCAGUAGGGAAUCUUCCACAAUGGGCGAAAGCCUGAUGGAGCAACGCCGCGUGAGUGAAGAAGGUUUUCGGAUCGUAAAACUCUGUUGUAAGGGAAGAACAAGUACAGUAGUAACUGGCUGUACCUUGACGGUACCUUAUUAGAAAGCCACGGCUAACUACGUGCCAGCAGCCGCGGUAAUACGUAGGUGGCAAGCGUUGUCCGGAAUUAUUGGGCGUAAAGCGCGCGCAGGCGGUCCUUUAAGUCUGAUGUGAAAGCCCACGGCUCAACCGUGGAGGGUCAUUGGAAACUGGGGGACUUGAGUGCAGAAGAGGAAAGUGGAAUUCCAAGUGUAGCGGUGAAAUGCGUAGAGAUUUGGAGGAACACCAGUGGCGAAGCGACUUUCUGGUCUGUAACUGACGCUGAGGCGCGAAAGCGUG
rnacentral:rRNA from 1 species